CGUUUUAAGGUUAAGCCUGCAUGUGUAAGUAUAAAGUCCAAUGAAGGAUGAAACUGCGGACGGCUCAUUAUAACAGUUAUAGUUUCUUUGAUUAGUAAAAUAUAAGGAUAACUUUGUGAAUGAUAAAGCUAAUACUUGAGACGAUCCGGGUUGAAUUAAUACAACUCGGCCGGUUUGCGCAAUGCCGCAGAAAAGGAAUUUCUUGAUAAAAUAAGGUUCCCGACACAUGUGAAAAACCAAACUGGUUCCACAAUUACCCAAAUAAAAAUUCUGAACCAUCUUUUGUUGGUAGUUCCGGGAAUACCAAGAAUUAUAACGGGAUAACCGAGGAAUUAGGGGUCGACAUCCGGAGAGGGAGCUUUAAAGAUGGCUACCACUUCCCAGGGAAGGCAGCAGGCGCGUAAAUUACCCACUUUUCGACGCGGAGAGGUAGUGACGACAAAUAAACUCUUGGAGUCCCUUUGCCACUUCUUGAAGAGAAUGACUUAGAAAAAAAGUCUCUUAUGAAAUCUUUUGAGAGGGCAAGUCUGGUGCCAGCAGCCGCGGUAUUUCCCUCUCCUAUAGUGA
rnacentral:rRNA from 1 species